GAUGAACGCUGGCGGCGUGCCUAAUACAUGCAAGUCGAGCGAACGGACGAGAAGCUUGCUUCUCUGAUGUUAGCGGCGGACGGGUGAGUAACACGUGGAUAACCUACCUAUAAGACUGGGAUAACUUCGGGAAACCGGAGCUAAUACCGGAUAAUAUUUUGAACCGCAUGGUUCAAAAGUGAAAGACGGUCUUGCUGUCACUUAUAGAUGGAUCCGCGCUGCAUUAGCUAGUUGGUAAGGUAACGGCUUACCAAGGCAACGAUGCAUAGCCGACCUGAGAGGUUGAUCGGCCACACUGGACCUGAGACACGGUCCAGACUCCUACGGGAGGCAGCAUUAGGGAAUCUUCCGCAAUGGGCGAAAGCCUGACGGAGCAACGCCGCGUGAGUGACGAAGGUCUUCGGCUCGUAAAACUCUGUUAUUAGGGAAGAACAUAUGUGUAAGUAACUGUGCACAUCUUGACGGUACCUAAUCAGAAAGCCACGGCUAACUACGUG
rnacentral:rRNA from 1 species